CAUGGCCACUUACACUGACCUGAACCACCUGGUGUCAGCCACUGUGAGUAGGGUCACCACCUGCCUACGCAACCCCAGCCAGCUCACUGCUGACCUGUGCAAGCUGGUUGUCAACGUGGUCCCCUCCUCUGCCUGCAGUUCUUCAGGCCCAGCUCCGCCCCACUGACCAGGCAGGGCCAGCCAGCAGUACCGGGCCUUGAGGGUGCCAGAGCUCCCCACGCAGGUGUUAGAGGCCAAGAACAUGAUGGUCGCCUAUGACCCCUGCUACAGCCGCUAUCUGACCAUGGUCAUCACCCUCAGGGCUGCAUAUCCAUGUAGGAGCUGGACGAGCAGAUAGAGCAGAUAAUGUCCGAAACAAAAACAGUAGCUAUUUUGUCAAGUGGAUCCCUAAUUAUGUGAAAACAGCUGUCUGUGACAACCUUCCCCUGGGGCUAAAAAUGUUUGCCACAUUUAUUGACCACAGCAUAAUAUACAAUAUUUCAUAUAUUAUUUCAGAUGGUGGGAGCUUACCACUGAGGGCUAGAAGACUGCUUGGGAGGGCAGCCACCAGACCAAGGUGUUAUCGAAGGGCCCCCCCCAGAAGGAGUGGCCACAGUGAGCUCAUGUGGGCUUCAGCCAGGUCCUGUCCGACAAGGGGACCCACGUGGAGAUGAGCGUGGCCGCAGGCCCCGGUCCUCUGUGUUCUUGCUGGCAUGGAGGAUGAGGGGCGGCAGGGCCUACAGCUGGUCCAGAGAGGGCAGGCUGAAACGCUGGGCAGAAGGAGAGGAGCGAGCUCAGGAAGGGGAAGCUGCUGAUCGACGUGACCCUGCAGACCUGUGGGAUGAUUCAGGGACGACACCCUGGACACCGCGCCCCUGCCCGGUUCCACCAGAUCUAGCCUCCCCCUGGGCCCACUCCCGGGCCGCGCGCGGAAGCUCUUCCCCAAGCUCAGCAUCACCUGGGGCGCUUCAGGCUGGCCUACGGCCCCGAUGCGGAGCUCAGCGCCAAGGAGUUCAGCUACCACCGAGGUCUGAAAAAGCGGGCGGAAGUGGGGAAGUCCGGGCUCUUCUGCCCCAAAAUGCUGCUGUGGUGGGGCUCUCCAAGAACCUGUCGGUCAUUGCCCAGGGCCUGUCCCUGGAGCCCCCGAUGAUGAUCAGAUAUGGCAUCAACAAUGUCCUGGAGCUGGUGGGCCGCCAGGUGAAUCUGCAGAUGGUGUACAGCACUGCCUGUGCUGCCCUAACGUGGAACUGGGCUUCAGGAAGAUUAGCCCUGAGCUAACUACUGUCAAUCCUCCUCUUUUGCUGAAGAAGACUGACCCUGAGCUAAC
rnacentral:lncRNA from 1 species